UUAAGCGACUAAGCGUACACGGUGGAUGCCCUGGCAGUCAGAGGCGAUGAAGGACGUGCUAAUCUGCGAUAAGCGUCGGUAAGGUGAUAUGAACCGUUAUAACCGGCGAUUUCCGAAUGGGGAAACCCAGUGUGUUUCGACACACUAUCAUUAACUGAAUCCAUAGGUUAAUGAGGCGAACCGGGGAACUGAAACAUCUAAGUACCCCGAGGAAAAGAAAUCAACCGAGAUUCCCCCAGUAGCGGCGAGCGAACGGGGAGCAGCCCAGAGCCUGAAUCAGUGUGUGUGUUAGUGGAAGCGUCUGGAAAGGCGUGCGAUACAGGGUGACAGCCCCGUACACAAAAAUGCACAUAUUGUGAGCUCGAUGAGUAGGGCGGGACACGUGGUAUCCUGUCUGAAUAUGGGGGGACCAUCCUCCAAGGCUAAAUACUCCUGACUGACCGAUAGUGAACCAGUACCGUGAGGGAAAGGCGAAAAGAACCCCGGCGAGGGGAGUGAAAAAGAACCUGAAACCGUGUACGUACAAGCAGUGGGAGCACGCUUAGGCGUGUGACUGCGUACCUUUUGUAUAAUGGGUCAGCGACUUAUAUUCUGUAGCAAGGUUAACCGAAUAGGGGAGCCGAAGGGAAACCGAGUCUUAACUGGGCGUUAAGUUGCAGGGUAUAGACCCGAAACCCGGUGAUCUACCAUGGGCAGGUUGAAGGUUGGGUAACACUAACUGGAGGACCGAACCGACUAAUGUUGAAAAAUUAGCGGAUGACUUGUGGCUGGGGGUGAAAGGCCAAUCAAACCGGGAGAUAGCUGGUUCUCCCCGAAGCUAUUUAGGUAGCGCCUCGUGAAUUCAUCUCCGGGGGUAGAGCACUGUUUCGGCAAGGGGGUCAUCCCGACUUACCAACCCGAUGCAAACUGCGAAUACCGGAGAAUGUUAUCACGGGAGACACACGGCGGGUGCUAACGUCCGUCGUGAAGAGGGAAACAACCCAGACCGCCAGCUAAGGUCCCAAAGUCAUGGUUAAGUGGGAAACGAUGUGGGAAGGCCCAGACAGCCAGGAUGUUGGCUUAGAAGCAGCCAUCAUUUAAAGAAAGCGUAAUAGCUCACUGGUCGAGUCGGCCUGCGCGGAAGAUGUAACGGGGCUAAACCAUGCACCGAAGCUGCGGCAGCGACGCUUAUGCGUUGUUGGGUAGGGGAGCGUUCUGUAAGCCUGUGAAGGUGUGCUGUGAGGCAUGCUGGAGGUAUCAGAAGUGCGAAUGCUGACAUAAGUAACGAUAAAGCGGGUGAAAAGCCCGCUCGCCGGAAGACCAAGGGUUCCUGUCCAACGUUAAUCGGGGCAGGGUGAGUCGACCCUAAGGCGAGGCCGAAAGGCGUAGUCGAUGGGAAACAGGUUAAUAUUCCUGUACUUGGUGUUACUGCGAAGGGGGGACGGAGAAGGCUAUGUUGGCCGGGCGACGGUUGUCCCGGUUUUAAGCGUGUAGGCUGGUUUUCCAGGCAAAUCCGGAAAAUCAAGGCUGAGGCGUGAUGACGAGGCACUACGGUGCUGAAGCAACAAAUGCCCUGCUUCCAGGAAAAGCCUCUAAGCAUCAGGUAACAUCAAAUCGUACCCCAAACCGACACAGGUGGUCAGGUAGAGAAUACCAAGGCGCUUGAGAGAACUCGGGUGAAGGAACUAGGCAAAAUGGUGCCGUAACUUCGGGAGAAGGCACGCUGAUAUGUAGGUGAAGUCCCUUGCGGAUGGAGCUGAAAUCAGUCGAAGAUACCAGCUGGCUGCAACUGUUUAUUAAAAACACAGCACUGUGCAAACACGAAAGUGGACGUAUACGGUGUGACGCCUGCCCGGUGCCGGAAGGUUAAUUGAUGGGGUCAGCGCAAGCGAAGCUCUUGAUCGAAGCCCCGGUAAACGGCGGCCGUAACUAUAACGGUCCUAAGGUAGCGAAAUUCCUUGUCGGGUAAGUUCCGACCUGCACGAAUGGCGUAAUGAUGGCCAGGCUGUCUCCACCCGAGACUCAGUGAAAUUGAACUCGCUGUGAAGAUGCAGUGUACCCGCGGCAAGACGGAAAGACCCCGUGAACCUUUACUAUAGCUUGACACUGAACAUUGAGCCUUGAUGUGUAGGAUAGGUGGGAGGCUUUGAAGUGUGGACGCCAGUCUGCAUGGAGCCGACCUUGAAAUACCACCCUUUAAUGUUUGAUGUUCUAACGUGGACCCGUGAUCCGGGUUGCGGACAGUGUCUGGUGGGUAGUUUGACUGGGGCGGUCUCCUCCUAAAGAGUAACGGAGGAGCACGAAGGUUGGCUAAUCCUGGUCGGACAUCAGGAGGUUAGUGCAAUGGCAUAAGCCAGCUUGACUGCGAGCGUGACGGCGCGAGCAGGUGCGAAAGCAGGUCAUAGUGAUCCGGUGGUUCUGAAUGGAAGGGCCAUCGCUCAACGGAUAAAAGGUACUCCGGGGAUAACAGGCUGAUACCGCCCAAGAGUUCAUAUCGACGGCGGUGUUUGGCACCUCGAUGUCGGCUCAUCACAUCCUGGGGCUGAAGUAGGUCCCAAGGGUAUGGCUGUUCGCCAUUUAAAGUGGUACGCGAGCUGGGUUUAGAACGUCGUGAGACAGUUCGGUCCCUAUCUGCCGUGGGCGCUGGAGAACUGAGGGGGGCUGCUCCUAGUACGAGAGGACCGGAGUGGACGCAUCACUGGUGUUCGGGUUGUCAUGCCAAUGGCACUGCCCGGUAGCUAAAUGCGGAAGAGAUAAGUGCUGAAAGCAUCUAAGCACGAAACUUGCCCCGAGAUGAGUUCUCCCUGACCCUUUAAGGGUCCUGAAGGAACGUUGAAGACGACGACGUUGAUAGGCCGGGUGUGUAAGCGCAGCGAUGCGUUGAGCUAACCGGUACUAAUGAACCGUGAGGCUUAACCUU
rnacentral:rRNA from 1 species